CCUACGGGACGCAGCAGUAGGGAAUUUUCGUCAAUGGGCGCAAGCCUGAACGAGCAAUGCCGCGUGAACGAGGAAGGUCUUCGGAUCGUAAAGUUCUGUUGAAGGGGAAAAAGAGCGGAGAGAGGAAAUGAACUCCGAUUGAUAUUACCCUUCGAGGAAGUCACGGCUAACUGCGUGCCAGCAGCCGCGGUAAUACGGAGGAUGCGAGCGUUAUCCGGAUUUAUUGGGUUUAAAGGGUGCGUAGGCGGGCUUUUAAGUCAGCGGUAAAAAUUCGGGGCCCAACCCCGUCCGGCCGUUGAAACUGG
rnacentral:rRNA from 1 species